rnacentral:rRNA from 1 species
UACGUAGGUGGCAAGCGUUAUCCGGAAUUAUUGGGCGUAAAGAGCGCGCAGGUGGUUGAUUAAGUCUGAUGUGAAAGCCCACGGCUUAACCGUGGAGGGUCAUUGGAAACUGGUUAACUUGAGUGCAGAAGAGGGAAGUGGAAUUCCAUGUGUAGCGGUGAAAUGCGUAGAGAUAUGGAGGAACACCAGUGGCAAAGGCGGCUUCCUGGUCUGUAACUGACACUGAGGCGCGAAAGCGUGGGGAGCAAACAGG